AGAUGAAUCGAAGUAUUCAACUCUUCUGGAGUACAACUUGUGAAGUUGUGAAGAAUAAAUACUUUAGAACAUUUUAAAAAUAGACUUCUUUCAAAUUUUAUAUAGACGCUCUUGUGAUUACUAGGAAGUUACUUAGAUCAACAUUUAAAAAAAAUUCUAGAUUUUUACUAAUAUACAUCGCUUACGUUUUUGGAGAUUCUAGGGACUUGGUGUCAGGGUUUACUUGAAGCUUAAUGACAUGUUAAAAACCCUUAUUUUAUAGUCUUAGAUCUAACACAGUUGUAAUGUUUCUAUGUUUAUCGCUUUAUGAUUAACAAACACAUAAACCCUGUGGCUUUACAACGCAAUAAAACAAGAUAAAGCCUUC
rnacentral:misc_RNA from 1 species